AGGGACGAGAAUUACUAAUUUGUUGGAAUUGGGCCUCUUAGAGCCUUCACUUUCUUAAAGCAUUUGUUGAGUGCAGUACAAUGGAGAGUUGUAUGCUUUAUCAGGGAUAUUUAGUUUUAUUUUGGCAGCAUGACCAUGUAGUAUGCAAAGGACUGUGAAUCCUUACAUUUUACAUUUUAACUCUCCCUUCUCUGUAAAACAAUUACCUCUAAUAUUCUUGGUAUUCGUAAUAGUAAUACACAAAUAUCUAAAAUGGAAAAACAAUUACAUCAUUGAUGGUACAUAUUUAUCCAAGGCAAUAUUGGCCUACAUAAAUUAGAAUCGCCAAGAUGGAGUUCGAAUGUGUCACCCUCCUGAUGCCUUUGCGGAAAGACUCUGGCUUGCUGACAGCUCUCAAUCUCAUCAAUAUUUUGUGUAUUACUAGAGGAUUGAACGUCUUUAGGAAAGUUUAGAAUUGUAACUAUGUGCAUAUCUUCA
rnacentral:lncRNA from 1 species